rnacentral:rRNA from 1 species
AGACGAACGCUGGCGGCGUGCCUAAUACAUGCAAGUCGAGCGGACAGAUGGGAGCUUGCUCCCUGAUGUUAGCGGCGGACGGGUGAGUAACACGUGGGUAACCUGCCUGUAAGACUGGGAUAACUCCGGGAAACCGGGGCUAAUACCGGAUGGUUGUCUGAACCGCAUGGUUCAGACAUAAAAGGUGGCUUCGGCUACCACUUACAGAUGGACCCGCGGCGCAUUAGCUAGUUGGUGAGGUAACGGCUCACCAAGGCGACGAUGCGUAGCCGACCUGAGAGGGUGAUCGGCCACACUGGGACUGAGACACGGCCCAGACUCCUACGGGAGGCAGCAGUAGGGAAUCUUCCGCAAUGGACGAAAGUCUGACGGAGCAACGCCGCGUGAGUGAUGAAGGUUUUCGGAUCGUAAAGCUCUGUUGUUAGGGAAGAACAAGUGCCGUUCAAAUAGGGCGGCACCUUGACGGUACCUAACCAGAAAGCCACGGCUAACUACGUGCCAGCAGCCGCGGUAAUACGUAGGUGGCAAGCGUUGUCCGGAAUUAUUGGGCGUAAAGGGCUCGCAGGCGGUUUCUUAAGUCUGAUGUGAAAGCCCCCGGCUCAACCGGGGAGGGUCAUUGGAAACUGGGGAACUUGAGUGCAGAAGAGGAGAGUGGAAUUCCACGUGUAGCGGUGAAAUGCGUAGAGAUGUGGAGGAACACCAGUGGCGAAGGCGACUCUCUGGUCUGUAACUGACGCUGAGGAGCGAAAGCGUGGGGAGCGAACAGGAUUAGAUACCCUGGUAGUCCACGCCGUAAACGAUGAGUGCUAAGUGUUAGGGGGUUUCCGCCCCUUAGUGCUGCAGCUAACGCAU